AUGCUUGUUUUGGCAGCACAUAUACUAAAAUUGGAAGUAUACAGAGAAGAUUAGCAUGGUCCCUCUGCAAGGAUGACACACAAAUCAUGAAAUGUUCCAUUAAAAA
rfam:Canis lupus familiaris chromosome 18, whole genome shotgun sequence.